rnacentral:misc_RNA from 1 species
GAAAUGCGAUAAGUAGUGUGAAUUGCAGAAUUCAGUGAAUCAUCGAAUCUUUGAACACACAUUGCGCCCCUUGGUAUUCCAUGGGGCAUGCCUGUUCGAGCGUCAUUUGUACCCUCAAGCUCUGCUUGGUGUUGGGUGUUUGUCCCGUCUUGCGCGUGGACUCGCCUUAAAGUUAUUGGCAGCCGGCAUAUUGGCCUUGGAGCGCAGCACAUUUUGCGCUUCAUGUCAUGAAUGUUGGCGUCCAUUAAGCCUUUUACAUUUGCUCUUGACCUCGGAUCAGGUAGGGAUACCCGCUGAACUUAA